AAUGAAUCUCCUAGUAACUGAAAGCAAAUGAAAAGGAAUACAGAAAGAAAAAGAAAUGGAGACAGACUUCAACGGAUCAGCGAUGCCUUAUUAAAAGCAGCAGAGGGACACAUUUUCAAGAGGGAAAAUGGUGACAGGCAAUAAUAAGGGUCUGAGUUUCACAGGGUUUAGAGGGGCUGAGUCCUGGCAGGAAGUGUGUUGGUUACAGCUGGAGGGAGACCUUGGGCAGGCAGGAGGACGGCUGUAGAUAGGGAAAGUCAACAAGUUCAGAGCCCAAUACUCUCCCUCUCUCCUUGGGGGUUGUUAUUUUCCUUCAUUAACCGUGAAUUUAUGAGGUAGGGCUGUAUUAAGCUGUAAGUAGUAAAAAACCCAAGUAAUUAUAACUUAAAUAGACAAGGACAUAUAUCUCACGAACCAAGAAGUCUAGUGACAAUGUGGGUGUGUGUUUGGUGGCUGGCAGGUCUUGACCCUCCCUUUACAGUUGCCAACUACUUGGUGGCAGUGCGCCUUCACCAUAGCCAAAGGCAGGAAGCGUGCAGCAGAGGGAGGGUGCGGUGGGGGCUGAGGAGUGGGAUGUUUCUCAGGGUGUCCCUUCUUCUUGUCUUUCCCCAAAGCCUCAGGCAGACUUUCCUCCAUGGGGCAAAGGUUAGAACUGGGGCACCUGACCGCCUCUAGGUGCCCCAAAGGCUGAGAAGUGAAUAGGGCUUCCACCAUCUUACUCCACGGGUCGUCUCAGGCCUAGAAGGAGGGGAAGGUCAGGUCACACUCCUUGGUGCGCAGACUCAGCUCUGGGAGAGAACCACAGUCAUGUCUUCUUCCUAGAUCUACAGAGUGACCACUGGGCCCAGCAGUGAAUUAGACUAUAGAGGACAUGAGAAAAAUGUCCCUGAUUUCAAGGAGUCACUAGAGAAUUGGGCUCUGCAGAAGCAAGUGGCCAAGCUGUCCCACCCCCACCCGCCACCCUGCCCUCAGUUUCCCUC
rnacentral:lncRNA from 1 species